AGUGCAACCAACCAAGCCACACGCGAGCGCGGUAGCUCGCUCUAACCCUAACCUAUCCGUCGCUUUUCAAAAGCCCACAAACUCUACAGUUUUCAGCUAGUUUCUGUAGGCUUGUUCGUGCGACCGAAGAAAAAAACCUGCUGUGAUCAUUGCGUUGUCUGUGUUUCGUUUGUUGGGUUGGCCUGACCAGCCAACGCGUGCCAUUAUGGCGGUGCAUUGAUUGUCUGACCACGGUAGAACCGCCUCGUAAUUUUUUACCCAACCGUGGUUCUGUCACACGUUGGUGUUAUGAAGAUUACACGGGCGACAUACUACCUUCACAGUCUGGCAUGCCAGUGCACCGACACGUAGAGUAAAACUGCCAUUGCUUCACUUGUCAGCACUUUGAACCGUAGGUGUUGGCAUGACAGCAAUGUCAAACAGGU
rnacentral:telomerase_RNA from 1 species